GAUGAACGCUGGCGGCGUGCCUAAUACAUGCAAGUCGAGCGAACAGAUAAGGAGCUUGCUCCUUUGACGUUAGCGGCGGACGGGUGAGUAACACGUGGGUAACCUACCUAUAAGACUGGGAUAACUUCGGGAAACCGGAGCUAAUACCGGAUAACAUUUGGAACCGCAUGGUUCUAAAGUGAAAGAUGGUUUUGCUAUCACUUAUAGAUGGACCCGCGCCGUAUUAGCUAGUUGGUAAGGUAACGGCUUACCAAGGCGACGAUACGUAGCCGACCUGAGAGGGUGAUCGCCCACACUGGAACUGAGACACGGUCCAGACUCCUACGGGAGGCAGCAGUAGGGAAUCUUCCGCAAUGGGCGAAAGCCUGACGGAGCAACGCCGCGUGAGUGAUGAAGGGUUUCGGCUCGUAAAACUCUGUUAUUAGGGAAGAACAAAUGUGUAAGUAACUGUGCACGUCUUGACGGUACCUAAUCAGAAAGCCACGGCCAACUACGUG
rnacentral:rRNA from 1 species